rnacentral:rRNA from 1 species
AACCCAAAUUAAUUAAUACUCGGCGUAAAACGUGUACCAAAACAACUAAAAUAGAAUUAAAAAUCAACCAAUAUGUGAAAAUUGAUCGUUGUAAUUAAAACCACUAACGAAAGUAAUUCUAAUUUACCUAUUACACGAUAGCUAAGAUCCAAACUGGGAUUAGAUACCCCACUAUGCUUAGCCUUAAACCUCAAUAAUUGUCAAACAAAAUUAUUUGCCAGAGAACUACUAGCCACCGCUUAAAACUCAAAGGACUUGGCGGUACUUUAUAUCCACCUAGAGGAGCCUGUUCUAUAAUCGAUAAACCCCGCUACACCUCACCACCCCUUGCUAAUU